rnacentral:rRNA from 10 species
GCCUCUGGACAUGCCCUCCCCGCUGAACGCACAAGGUCUCCUCCGCUCUCCCAAGCAAAGGGGGGUCAGGCCAGGAUAGAGGUGGAUGGAAGAGUGCUUGGAAAUACUGGGCCCUGUAGGCU